GAUUUCUGGUAUGAUUGUCCUGACCUAUUAACGGUUACGUUAAUAUGUGUUAGGAUUCGAUCUACCAUCUUUUCAGUUGUUAUUAGUUAAUACUUCUUUACUGAAGUAUACUAAUAAAUCAAACAAUUGAAUCUUUUACUUUGAAAAAAUUAGAGUGUUUAAAGCAGGCUUGUGCUAUGAAUACAUUAGCAUGGAAUAAUAAUUUAGGACUUUGGUCUUAUUUUUUGGUUUCUAGGACUAAAGUAAUGAUUGAUAGGGACAGUUGGGGGUGCUAGUAUUCAGCGGCCAGAGGUGAAAUUCUUGGAUUCGCUGAAGACUAACUUAUGCGAAAGCAUU
rnacentral:rRNA from 1 species